AGUGAACGCUGGCGGUAGGCCUAACACAUGCAAGUCGAACGGCAGCACAGUAAGAGCUUGCUCUUACGGGUGGCGAGUGGCGGACGGGUGAGGAAUACAUCGGAAUCUACUUUUUCGUGGGGGAUAACGUAGGGAAACUUACGCUAAUACCGCAUACGACCUACGGGUGAAAGCAGGGGAUCUUCGGACCUUGCGCGAUUGAAUGAGCCGAUGUCGGAUUAGCUAGUUGGCGGGGUAAAGGCCCACCAAGGCGACGCUCCGUAGCUGGUCUGAGAGGAUGAUCAGCCACACUCUGACAGAGAGACAGGGCAGAGACCCAAGGGAGGCAGCAGUGGGGAAUAUUGGACAAUGGGCGCAAGCCUGAUCCAGCCAUACCGCGUGGGUGAAGAAGGCCUUCGGGUUGUAAAGCCCUUUUGUUGGGAAAGAAAAGCAGCAGGUUAAUACCCCGCUGUUCUGACGGUACCCAAAGAAUAAGCACCGGCUAACUUCGUG
rnacentral:rRNA from 1 species